GACGAACGCUGGCGGCGUGCCUAAUACAUGCAAGUCGAACGCUGAAGGAGGAGCUUGCUUCUCUGGAUGAGUUGCGAACGGGUGAGUAACGCGUAUGUAACCUGCCUGUUAGCGGGUGAUAACUAUUGGAAACGAUAGCUAAUACCGCAUAAGAGUAGAUGUUGCAUGACAUUUGCUUAAAAGGUGCAAUUGCGUCACUACCAGUUGGACCUGCGUUGUAUUAGGUAGUUGGUGGGGUAACGGCUCACCAAGGCGACGAUACAUAGUCGACCUGAGAGGGGGAACGGCCCAAAUGGGAAUGAGACACGGCCCAGAAGCCUAAGGGAGGGAGCAGUAGGGAAUCUUUGGGAAUGGACGGAAGUCUGAACGAGCAAAGCCGCCGGAGGGAAGAAGGGUUUCGGAUCGUAAAGAUCUGUUGUAAGAGAAGAAAGAGUGUGAGAGUGGAAAGUUCACACUGUGACGGUAUCUUACCAGAAAGGGACGGCUAACUACGUG
rnacentral:rRNA from 1 species